ACCGGCCGGCGGGCUGACGCGGGGCGGGCAGGCGGCUGCGGCGGGGAGCGGGGCCGGUGGAGGCGGUUGAGGAGCCCGCGGAGCCCGAGAGCUCGAGAGCUGAGGCGGCCAGACGCGGCCGCGGAGCCGGGAGCGCGGAACCGGGCGCGCGGAGCCGGGAGCGCGGGGCGCCGGCCGGCGGGGCCGAGCCCCGAGCCGGGCCCGCAGACCUAGGCGCGUGGCCCCCCGCCCGACCCCGACCCGGCCCCGACCCCGCGGCGGCCCGGGCGGGCGGGCGAGCGCGGCCGGAGGAUGUCGGCGGGCGGCCGCGACGAGGAGCGGCGGAAGCUGGCCGACAUCAUCCAGCACUGGAACGCCAACCGGCUGGACCUGUUCGAGAUCAGCCAGCCCACCGAGGAUUUGGAGUUCCAUGGAGUGAUGAGAUUUUAUUUUCAAGAUAAAGCUGCUGGGAACUUUGCAACAAAAUGUAUCCGGGUCUCUAGUACCGCCACCACUCAGGACGUGCUGGAAACGCUCGCCGAGAAAUUCCGCCCUGACAUGCGGAUGUUGUCAUCACCCAAGUACUCCCUGUACGAAGUGCAUGUCAGCGGAGAAGAAAGAAGAUUGGAUAUAGACGAGAAACCCCUUGUUGUGCAGUUGAAUUGGAAUAAGGAUGAUCGAGAGGGCAGAUUUGUUCUUAAGAAUGAGAACGAUGCCAUUCCUGCUAAGAAGGCUCAAAGUAACGGACCUGAAAAGCAGGAAAAAGAAGGUGUUAUCCAGAACUUCAAGAGAACUCUCUCAAAGAAAGAAAAGAAGGAAAAAAAGAAGCGAGAAAAAGAGGCAAUGAGGCAGGCGUCUGAUCGAGACGAUAGACCUUUCCAUGGGGAUGACACUGAAAAUUCUCGACUGGCUGCUGAGGUUUACAAAGACAUGCCUGAAACUAGCUUUACCCGAACGAUUUCUAAUCCCGAGGUGGUUAUGAAACGACGGAGACAACAAAAACUGGAAAAGAGAAUGCAGGAAUUUCGGAGCUCAGAUGGGCGGCCUGAUUCAGGUGGGACAUUGAGAAUUUAUGCAGAUAGUUUAAAACCAAAUAUUCCCUACAAGACGAUCCUGCUGUCUACCACAGAUCCUGCAGACUUCGCUGUCGCUGAAGCUCUAGAGAAGUACGGUCUGGAGAAGGAAAAUCCUAAGGAUUAUUGCAUCGCCCGCGUGGUGCUUCCUCCUGGGGCCCAGCAUUCUGAUGAGAAAGCUGCUGAAGAAAUCAUCCUUGAUGACGACGAGUGUCCUCUACAGAUCUUCAGGGAGUGGCCGAAUGACCGAGGGAUUUUAGUCUUUCAGCUGAAGAGGAGGCCACCAGACUACAUCCCAAAGAAAAGCCAGAAGCACAUGGAUGGGAAGCCGCUGCACGGGAAGGAGCGAGUUGAUGGGUCUGGCUACGGCGCUGCACUCCCACCGGAGAAACUGCCCUACCUCGUAGAGCUGAGCCCAGAUGGUUCCGACUCCAGAGACAAGCCAAAGCUCUACCGCCUUCAGCUGAGUGUCACUGAGGUUGGGACAGAGAAGUUCGACGACGGCUCCAUCCAGUUGUUUGGUUCAGGAAUUGAACCCCAUCACUGUGACCUCACAAACAUGGAUGGAGUGGUCACGGUCACGCCGAGAAGCAUGGAUGCCGAGACCUACGUGGACGGGCAGCGCAUCUCGGAGACGACGAUGCUGCACAGCGGGAUGAAGGUGCAGUUUGGGGUGUCCCAUGUGUUUAAGUUCGUGGACCCCAGCCAGGACCACGCUCUGCCCAAGAGAUCCAUGGAUGGAGGCCUGAUGGCGAAGGGUCCCAGACAGAGGCCUGGAAUUGUUCAGGAGACAACUUUUGAUUUGGGAGGAGAUGUUCAUAGUGGGACAGCAUUACCAGCGAGCAAGAGCUCCUCCAGGCUGGACGGCGACAGGGGGCUGUCUGCCGCCAGCACCGCCGAGCGAGGGAUGGUGAAGCCCAUGGUCAGAGUGGAGCAGCAGCUGGACUACCGCAGGCAAGAAAGCAGAACUCAGGACGCUCCUGGGCCUGACCUAAUACUGCCUGCAAGCAUUGAAUUCAGGGAAAGUUCUGAAGAUUCAUUUUUAUCUGCCAUUAUAAAUUACACUAAUAGCUCUACAGUCCAUUUUAAGUUGUCACCUACAUACGUGUUAUAUAUGGCGUGUCGGUAUGUAUUGUCCAGCCAGUACAGACCCGAUGUCAGUCCCGCAGAACGGACGCACAAAGUGAUUGCCAUUGUCAACAAGAUGGUGAGCAUGAUGGAAGGGGUCAUUCAGGAAGUAGACCAGGUUGAUCAGAAACAGAAGAAUAUCGCAGGGGCGCUUGCUUUCUGGAUGGCGAAUGCAUCUGAGCUGCUCAACUUCAUAAAGCAGGACCGAGAUCUGAGUCGAAUCACGCUGGAUGCCCAGGAUGUUCUAGCACACUUGGUUCAGAUGGCCUUUAAAUACCUGGUUCACUGUCUUCAGUCAGAACUGAAUAAUUACAUGCCAGCCUUUCUGGACGACCCCGAAGAGAACAGUCUGCAGAGACCCAAAAUAGACGACGUGCUGCACACGCUCACGGGGGCCAUGUCGCUGCUGCGCCGCUGCCGGGUCAACGCCGCGCUGACCAUCCAGCUCUUCUCCCAGCUCUUCCACUUCAUCAACAUGUGGCUGUUCAACAGGCUGGUGACCGACCCCGAGUCGGGGCUGUGCUCCCACUACUGGGGCGCCAUCAUCCGCCAGCAGCUUGGGCAUGUGGAGGCCUGGGCGGAGAAGCAGGGCCUGGAGCUGGCGGCCGACUGCCACCUCAGCAGGAUCGUGCAGGCAACCACUUUGCUCACGAUGGAUAAGUACGCACCCGAUGACAUCCCAAAUAUAAACAGUACCUGCUUCAAGUUAAAUUCGCUGCAGCUUCAAGCCUUACUUCAGAACUACCACUGUGCACCCGAUGAGCCUUUUGUCCCUACAGACCUGAUGGAGCAUGUGGUGGCUGUGGCGGAGAACACAGCCGACGAGCUGGCACGCAGUGACGGGCGGGAGGUGCAGCUGGAGGAGGACCCCGACCUGCAGCUGCCGUUCCUUCUGCCCGAGGACGGCUACUCCUGCGACGUUGUCAGAAACAUCCCAAACGGCUUACAGGAGUUUCUGGACCCUUUGUGCCAGAGAGGAUUUUGCAGGUUAAUUCCUCACCCGCGCUCGCCAGGCACGUGGACGAUAUAUUUUGAAGGUGCAGAUUAUGAGAGUCACCUUACGCGGGAGAACACGGAACUGGCUCAGCCUCUGAGGAAAGAACCGGAAGUAAUCACGGUGACCCUCAAAAAGCAGAACGGGAUGGGCCUCAGCAUUGUCGCAGCAAAGGGUGCUGGUCAAGACAAACUUGGAAUCUACGUCAAGUCUGUUGUAAAAGGAGGUGCUGCUGACGUGGACGGGCGGCUGGCUGCAGGUGACCAGCUCCUCAGCGUGGAUGGACGGAGUCUGGUAGGACUCUCUCAAGAAAGGGCAGCAGAACUGAUGACAAGGACAAGCUCCGUGGUGACGCUGGAAGUAGCAAAGCAAGGAGCCAUUUAUCACGGUCUUGCUACCCUGCUCAAUCAGCCGUCGCCCAUGAUGCAGAGAAUUUCAGAUCGUCGUGGAUCAGGUAAACCCCGACCAAAGAGUGAAGGUUUUGAGCUCUAUAACAAUUCAGCUCAAAACGGGUCCCCGGAGAGCCCUCAGAUGCCUUGGGCAGAAUACAGCGAACCAAAGAAGCUGCCUGGCGACGACAGGCUGAUGAAAAACAGGGCUGACCACCGCUCCAGCCCCAACGUCGCAAAUGAGCCCCCUAGUCCCGGCGGGAAAGGCGCCUAUACCUCUGGGACAGCGGCCAAGAUAACGUCCGUCUCCACUGGAAACCUCUGCGCUGAGGAGCAGACCCCUCCUCCCCGAGCCGAGGCCUACCCCAUCCCGACGCAGACCUACACCAGGGAGUACUUCACCUUCCCGGCCUCCAAGUCCCAGGACCGCACGGCUCCUCCUCAGGACCAGUGGCCCCGUUACGAGGAGAAGCCCCACAUGCACACGGACAGCAGCCACUCCAGUACUGCAGUCCAGCGCGUGACCCGGUCCCAGGAGGAGCUCCGGGAGGAUGUCGCGUACCACCUGGAGCGGCAGAGGGUGGAGGCGGCGAUGGAGCGCAGGUCUGACGGCGGCGACGCGUGGCUCAACCAGGGCUCCUCGCUGGGCUCCAGCACCUCCAGCCAGGAGCACCUGGGCCCCCCUUCCAAGGCGGGCACCCCCGCGUCCACGCUCACCAAGAGCGGCCCUGGGCGCUGGAAGACCCCAGCCGCCUCCCCGCCGGUGCGGACCGACCCGCCCCCCGGGCACUACGGCGAUGGGGACGGAGUCCCCGCGGACUCGUCCCUCCCGCCGCCUCCCACCGGCGCCCAGGCGGCUGCAGAGCGGAAGAAGCGGGAGGAGCAGCAGCGCUGGUACGAGAAGGAAAAGGCGCGCCUGGAGGAGGAGCGCGAGCGCCGGCGGCGGGAGCAAGAGCGCAGGCUGGGCCAGCUUCGGACGCAGGCGCCGCCCCCCGGGCCCCCGCCCCCCGGGCCGCCCUCGCCCGCCGCCCCGCCGGCCCCCGCCCGCGCCCCGGACACCGUCAUCCGGGAGCUGCAGCCCCAGCAGCAGCCGCGCACCAUUGAGCGCCGGGACUUGCAGUACAUCACGGUUAGCAGGGAGGAGCUGGCCUCGGGGGACAGCCUGUCCCCCGACCCCUGGAAGCGGGACGCGCGGGAGAAGCUGGAGAAGCAGCAGCAGCUGCACAUCGUGGACCUGCUGAGCCGCGAGAUCCAGGAGCUGCAGGGCAAGGCCGAGCGCUCGGCCGAGGAGAGCGACCGCCUGCGCAAGCUCAUGCUGGAGUGGCAGUUCCAGAAGCGGCUGCAGGAGUCCAAGCAGAAGGACGAGGACGACGAGGAGGAGGAGGACGACGACGUGGACACCGUGCUGCUCAUGCAGCGCCUGGAGGCCGAGCGCAGAGCGCGGUUGCAGGACGAGGAGCGGCGGCGGCAGCAGCAGCUGGAGGAGAUACGGACCCGGGAGGCUGAGCAGCGGGCCCGGCAGGAGGAGCAGCGGGCCAGGCGCGAGGCCGAAGAAAAGGUCCUGGUGCUCUGAGGGCGAGGGGUGCGCGGCUGAGGGGCCCGGGACGCGCAAGGGGGCCGCCGCUGAAACUGGAGCCCGGUCAGCCAGCCGGGCCCCGGCCCUGUCCUCUGAGCUGUCAUCCCCUUUUCCCCCCGGGCUGUCCCCCUCCCCCUUCUCCAGGCUGCUGUCCCCCCUCCCCCUUCGCCUCCUGGCUGUCCCCCCUCCCCCUUCUCCUCGGGCUGUCCCCCCUCCCCCUUUUCCUCCAGGCUGUCCCCCCUCCCCCUUUUCCUCCAGGCUGUCCCCCCUCCCCCUUCUCCUCCUGACUCUCCCCCCUCCCCCUUCUCCUCCUGACUCUCCCCCCUCCCCCUUCUCCUCCUGGCUCUCCCCCCACCCCCUCUCCUCCGAGUCUUGUCGCUCAAGCUUGUGGACUGUGGGGCCUCUGUGUGCUCGGGGCUCUGGUCUUUGCUGGACGGGGUCCAGCUUGUCACUGUGAAGGUGACAAGUGUCCAGUUCACAGGGAGGUCGGGCCGUGGGAAGGACAGGAAACUAGGAAGUCACUGUUAACCUUAAGGGUUUCAAAUCGGUUAUUUCAUGACUUAAUUCUGGUCAGGGGUGAAGAGAGCAAAUGGCUUAUAGAAAACACGAUACAAGGACAUUUAAUUUAGUGUGUAAUCUGGUAGAUAUCCCGAGUUAUUGCUUUGUUUCCGUAUGUGGGUUUCUGAGAUUCAGGUAAUCCUUUUAAUUGCCUUUAACAUGACGGCACACUUGAGCUCCCCUGAGCAAUGGGCGCUUGGUGAUGCUGCCCUCCAGGCCCUGCCGUCUGUGGGCGCGUCGCCGCGGCUCUGGGCUCGCUUCUGGGUCUCUCCAGGGCUGGCCGGUCCCUGGACAAGGUGUGGGAGAAGCUGGCCUUCCGUUACUUCCCUUCUGUGAAGGCGGGAGCUCUGAGGUCAUGGCUCCUGGUGGGGAAAGUCCAGUGAGCACCCUCACGGCGCACCCUGCAGGAGGAAGCUUGGGGUGCUCUGGCAGUGAUGGGGUCUGUGGGGACGCGACAGGCAGAGAGUAAGACAGUGGAAAUGACGGAUGACUUGGUUAAGUGCGAGCCAGGUAGAUGACGUGGGCACACCUGCACUGAAACGAGCCAUGUCUACGGUCUGUUGGCCUUUGCCAUUCCGGUCAUCGUGCUGUCGGCUGUGCCUGAAGAGCUUGUGCGCUGUUCCCAGAGUCGGGUUUCGUGGUGAGGCUCCCCUCGAGCUUGUCAAAGUCAGUAAUACGUCUAAGGAAACGGGGUUUCCACAGUUUGAGCCACUAGACCCGGGUUUUACAGUGUCUGUCGUGCUGCUGUCCCGGGGCUGCUCGCAGGGUGUGUUUUCCUGGCCGGGCCCCUCAGCUGUCUGUCCCACCUCUGCCUGAGCCCUCGGCCACCUGGGAGUAGUGCCCACGGGGAGGCGGCCAGGCCGUGUUCUCCACGUUGGGAAAUUCCUGGGUUAUUUGACUUUUUUCCAGUGUGUGUUCUCACAACUCGUGAUUACGUCAGGUGCACCUGUGUGUGGGUAACUGCUUCUAUAAUUGAGCACUCAGUGUAAAAGGAAGCCGAAUAACCUAUUUUUUAUAGAGAAUGUGCAAAAUUGAUGGGUUUCUCUGUCCUAGGAAAACGUGCCGUUCACUUUUGGGUAGAAUGAAGUCUUCUCGGUUCAUGUGCCUGUAUACCUGCUCUUAGUGUAACUGAAAGAACAUGUUGUGGUUUCCCUAAAAUGUGACCAAGUGAGCUUUGUUCACAUAAUACUAAGAUUCCUCACAACUCCACUUAAGCUCUGCGGAGGUCGUUCCAGAUUUAAUUCCCCACUCUAAGAGAACGCUCAUUUUGUGUAGAAAAUAAGGUAAAAAUGUUUUUCCUUCAGGGUGUCUCAACAUAGUGUAAGAAGAUGAAGUGAGAAAUGGGGCCCAGGGCCAGGAUUGAGGCUGGCAUCUGUCCUUAGCGUUUUCUCCCUCAGAAGGUGAAGCUUUGCCCACUGUGUACGUGUGUGUGUGUGUGUGUGUGUGUGUGUGGUGUGGAGGGAGUAGGGAGAAGACACAGUGUGCAAAGUGAAAUGGGGACUAAAAACUUUAAUCCUAAUGCCAGCAAGGCCCCUAAAAUUGGUCCCCUUCCGUUGAAUGAAUUUAAAGUCCACUGUACUUCCGUUCUGUGUGCAUUGUACAUUGAACAUUCCUCAAGUUAAGGCAGAUUACUGUUUGAUCUUUCAGCUCUUUUCUUCUUCACUUUUUUCUUGUGUUCUGAAACUUUUGUCAAUCUUUAACAAAACUGUGCUGUUACUUUUUUCAAUGUUAACACUGUCAACUGUAGUUUGUGCAGAUAUAUGUCAGAAAAAAUGUACAGUCUGUGUCAAAAUAUAUUUGAAUAUCUUGUUUCCUGGCUCUCUCAAUUUUCUGUCUGGCAGGGAGUUUAUUAAGAUUUGAAAUACCAAUUAAAAACUGUGGAAAGC